AUCACAAAUUUCCGUUAUUCUUUCCCAGUCCAAAUUUUACUCCCUCACAUUCACCGUUCACUUUCAGAGUUUCAAGUUGUUCUCUGCUACGCUCCUUCUCGACAGGAUCUUCCAUCAUCUGAGAACAACUUAUUCUUCUCCAUCAUUCAUUCUCCGCGAUUCAGGUAAGAAUGUUUCUUUUUGUUCAUUCUUUCUUCUUCUGAAUUGGCCUCAACUCUACUCUGUUGUCGUGCGUCACGGGCUGUGGUGCAGCCCCGCCAGUCCGCCAUUCUCUAGCGCGCGCCUUUGUCAGAUUUCUGGGGUUUCCAGUUUUCACUAAUACGGCCAUGUAAAGUUUAAUCUCAUAUUCAGUCUCAAAAUUACUUUACUUUUAAUUUCACUCAGAAAUUCUAUAGCAUUUUCUCUCAUCCAUUAUAUCAUCUAUUUGUUUGCUUGAAUCACUGAAUUGUGCCAGGUUAAGGAACCGAAUCGAUGUCCACAUUGUAGCCUCUUUUCUCAAACUCCGGCGGCUACAUGCUUCAAUCGCUAGAGUUUUUGUUCACAAGAUGAAUCCCAAAUUUCUAUCAAACCCGUUUUAUGUAUGUGAACCUAAAUUUUUGAGUGUUCUACGUUUGUUUUUCUUUUUUAAAAAUAAUUAUAAUUCUCUUUGUUUUGGGUAGUUUUGUUUUACCUAAUGUUUGGCUACAUUCUUCUUCACGUUUGCUUAAUCUUCACCCCUUUGCAUUCUGCAACAAGAUUUCUGUCUAUUUUAUAUCCAUGUAGAGUCAGAACAGGUUGAAGAUGCAGCACAACAGGUAUGUAAUUUACUUGCACCUCAAUUUCAAUUUAAUUAAGGUGUGCAAAUAGUUAAAUCAAUUUCACUUAAUAGUUGGUUUUUUAUUCACAUUGUCAUGUAUUCUCUAAUAAAAUCUUUAGGCUCAUUUGAGAGCCAGCCGCAAGGAGUGCCCUUUCAAAUCCCUCUUGCAUUCUUCUCCUUCAUCAUCGUCCACACCGAAUCCUCAUCAGAUUGCAAGACAGAGUCAAAGGUCAGAUAUUCACGUUCUGGUGCAGCUAUCAUGCCAAACAUAUAUGUAAGUGUUUAUCAUUUCAACAGCUUCUAGUGUAGGGGUCAAUAUUGCUCUAUCUUAAAAAAAUUGUGGGUCUUUCAUUUUGUGCGGAAGGUCAAAAUAUGUAUAUUUAAUCAAUUCCAUUAAUAGGUCAGGACUAAUUGGGAUGAACAAAUCUGACGGGAUUUGAACAUCAUACUUUCUUGCUCCAGAAUCAGGAUGAUGUCAUUUCCAAUUUUAAGAAUCCAAUCUGCAAGCUCUUUAAUUUAUUUUGCUUCAUCAGCCAUCUCGGCUUCGGUUAGCUGCAUGUUCUUAGACAAUUUCAUAACUUUGCAAUGCUUGCACAAUGAUGAAGAGUUUACAGUAGCUUCCACAACUUCAUGUUUGCUUCCUUUAGUUAUUACAGGUAGUAUUUGCCUAAAACCACCUCCAAGUAUUACUACUUUUCCCCCAAAAGGUUUAUGUACGUUGUCUUUAUUUUUCAACCUCCUUAAAUCUCGGAGUGUAAUGUUUGGAGGUUCGAAACAAAACUUUUUUAACACUGAAGCUUCAUCCCAUAUAAUAAGGCUUGUCUCAAGCAGAAGCUUUGCUCGUAUACCUCCCUGCUUUAUAUUACAUGCUGAGGUCUCCGUAGCGUCUAACGGAAUGCUAAAUUUAGAAUGAGUUGUUCUCCCUCCAGGCAAGAGUAAUGAUAAUAUGCCACUAGAAGCAAUAUUAAGCACAAUUAGUCAUCUGGAUCUAAGUGACGUCCAAACAAAAAUCUUUCCGGUUCAACCAUAGCCAUAUAAAAAGUAGAAGCCUCCUGAGUUUGAAAACAUAGAUGUGACAACCCUCUCAUAUACAUACUUUUGCUCAGGUGUAACCAUACUAAGCAACUCUUCAUAUUGUACCUUUAAUGCAUCUUUGUUACUUUUAAUUUUUUUUUUGGUCUUGACCAAGGUAUCCCCACAACCGACAGCCGUGAUACAAAUCUCUCGCCCCACGGUCAGCGCGCUAAACAGUAGGGGCUGACCAAAGAUUUUUUCUAUUCGCAAGAGUUCAGAUUAAAUGGGAUGACAGAUUCAUUUUUCUUUGGUGAGUCACAAUUGAUUGAAGCUGGAUUUCACAAUGGUCAACCUGAAGAGGCCACUACAGAGGUGCCACCACCAGCAUUUGUGCCCCCGUGUAUAAGUAUAGAUGUCUCGCAUUUAUUUGCAAUUGAUCAGGUAUUCUUUGAACAUAUUUUUGCAUUGUUUUGAGAGUGUAAUAUAUCAAUUCUUAUUAUGUCUUGAUCACCCUUGUAAUCAAUUCUUAUUAUUAUAACAGAUUUUCCCUACCCGUGA